CUUGACCGAGCCGAGCAGCAGCGGCUGGUCCGCCGGGCGGUUCUGGCCGUAGGUGGCGAGCAGUGCCUGGGCCUC
rfam:Streptomyces albulus strain NK660, complete genome.